rfam:TPA: Bos taurus chromosome 3, whole genome shotgun sequence.
CCCCUGAUGGUCCAGUGGUUAAGACUCUGAGCUUCCAAUGCAGGGAACCACGGGUUCAAUCCCUGUUCAGGAAA